rnacentral:rRNA from 1 species
GACGUAGGGCGCAAGCGUUGUCCGGAUUUAUUGGGCGUAAAGAGCUCGUAGGCGGCCUGUCGCGUCAAUCGUGAAAUCCUGCGGCUUAACUGUGGGGUUGCGGUUGAUACGGGCGGGCUGGAGUGCGGUAGGGGAGACUGGAAUUCCUGGUGUAGCGGUGAAAUGCGCAGAUAUCAGGAGGAACACCGAUGGCGAAGGCAGGUCUCUGGGCCACUACUGACGCUGAGAAGCGAAAGCAUGGGUAGCGAACAGGAUUAGA